UAAUCUUUAGCAGACCAGAGUUCCACUGUGGCGACCCCUAACUGUGAAAAGCCGAAAGAACUGACUGGGGGGAAAAAAAAGCUUUUUAAUGAGCUGUGCCAGGCCCAGUGUAAGGGGAGAUCAUCAUGCUAACUAAUGAAACUGCAUCAGCAGCUGUAGUCUAGUGAUGGGGUAUGUGCCCCCCCCUAACUACUGUACAGUUUGAGCAUUGAGUUUAUCGAAUGUGUAACGAGUUGGUCUGUAUGUAGAAAACCUUACUUUUGGAGGGCAAGAUUGUAUUAUAAAAAGAAAAAAAAACUAAAUGGUUUCAGAGCAUGAUUUGUGGUGUCAAGUGUGACUUGUUUUCUUUUAAAUCUAGUUUACAGGGCUGUUUUGGCAGAAACUUGCCAUCUUGAACAUGAAACUCAAAGAAACCUUGCCCUUUGGGAGUGAGAAGAUUCUAAGUGAAGUGGGCACAGGUGAAUGGGAUUGUCCUGGUGUAAAGGAGGUCCUAGUCUACAGGACUGUUUCGGCAAACUUGUUAAACAUGAAACUCAAAAGAAACCUGCCCCAUUGGAAGUGAGAAGAUUGAAAUGGGCUCAGGUGGAUCUGAAAUGUGGUGUAAAAUAACUAGGAAGCCAGAAGGAAUGUUUUUUAACUGGUGAAUGGGAUUGUCCUGGUGUGGAGGAGGUCCUAGGUUACAUGUAUCGAGGCUUCUGGAGUGUACAGUUUGCUGUCUGGACUGGUCAAGCAAAGUGUAACUGUGCUACUUAUGUGGUUCAAGUUUUUAUGGAAAAGUUUUAUUCAAUCAACACUUUGGUAGUUGUACAUAUACAUGUAGGAGAAUGGAAUUACUUUCACGUUGCUGUUGCCUCAUCGGAAUGCAACUUCUGAGCAGCAUUGGCUUUGAAAAGGCUUGACUCUGCUGUACUGGAGCAGGACUGCUACUGUGGAUUUGGGAAACCUGAUCUGAGAAGAAAUCUGAAUCUGGACUCUUGUUUCAAUUCGGAUUCACCUGAACACAACUUAUCAAUUUUUGGAGAUAGAUGGGUAGAUAACAGCAUACUGUCCCAGACAUGGCUUUUACUUCAUAUUUCAAGUAAAGUGGUAUAAAAGACUGCAGGUUCUGUUGCCAGUUCGAUGUUUACAUUUCCUGUGUAUUAAUUUUUAUAUACGUCUUAAGUGUUCUGUUUAAAAAGUUCAAAAGCUUGCAACUGAUUAACUUCACAUUAUGAUUAUUGGCCUCCCAGUUUGAGUGUGGCUGCUUUAAUAUAGUGGUCUGUUCAUAAAAGGUAUGCAAAUGUUA